rnacentral:rRNA from 1 species
UGGGGAAUAUUGCACAAUGGGCGCAAGCCUGAUGCAGCCAUGCCGCGUGUGUGAAGAAGGCCUUCGGGUUGUAAAGCACUUUCAGCGAGGAGGAAGGUGGUGAACUUAAUACGUUCAUCAAUUGACGUUACUCGCAGAAGAAGCACCGGCUAACUCCGUGCCAGCAGCCGCGGUAAUACGGAGGGUGCAAGCGUUAAUCGGAAUUACUGGGCGUAAAGCGCACGCAGGCGGUUUGUUAAGUCAGAUGUGAAAUCCCCGGGCUCAACCUGGGAACUGCAUUUGAAACUGGCAAGCUAGAGUCUCGUAGAGGGGGGUAGAAUUCCAGGUGUAGCGGUGAAAUACGUAGAGAUCUGGAGGAAUACCGGUGGCGAAGGCGGCCCCCUGGACGAAGACUGACGCUCAGGUGCGAAAGCGUGGGGGAGCAAAACAGGAUUAGAUACCCUGGUAGUCCACGCUGUAAACGAUGUCGAUUUUGGAGGUUGUGCCCUUGAGGCGUGGCUUCCGGAGCUAACGCGUUAAAUCGACCGCCUGGGGAGUACGGCCGCAAGGUUAAAACUCAAAUGAAUUGAC